UACGUAGGGUGCGAGCGUUGUCCGGAUUUAUUGGGCGUAAAGAGCUCGUAGGCGGUUUGUCGCGUCGGCCGUGAAAUCUCCACGCUUAACGUGGAGCGUGCGGUCGAUACGGGCAGACUUGAGUUCGGUAGGGGAGACUGGAAUUCCUGGUGUAGCGGUGAAAUGCGCAGAUAUCAGGAGGAACACCGGUGGCGAAGGCGGCAUCCUGGACCGGCAUUGACGCUGAGGCGCGAAAGCGUGGGGAGCAAACAGG
rnacentral:rRNA from 1 species